rnacentral:snRNA from 1 species
CAGAUCAAGCGGUCCUGG